CCUACGGGGGGCAGCAGUGGGGAAUAUUGGACAAUGGGGGCAACCCUGAUCCAGCCAUGCCGCGUGUGUGAAGAAGGCCCUCGGGUUGUAAAGCACUUUCAGUGAGGAAGAACGCCUGGUGGUUAAUACCCAUCAGGAAAGACAUCACUCACAGAAGAAGCACCGGCUAACUCCGUGCCAGCAGCCGCAGUAAUACGGAGGGUGCGAGCGUUAAUCGGAAUUACUGGGCGUAAAGCGCGCGUAGGUGGCUUGAUAAGCCGGUUGUGAAAGCCCCGGGCUCAACCUGGGAACGGCAUCCGGAACUGUCAAGCUAGAGUGCAGGAGAGGAAGGUAGAAUUCCCGGUGUAGCGGUGAAAUGCGUAGAGAUCGGGAGGAAUACCAGUGGCGAAGGCGGCCUUCUGGACUGACACUGACACUGAGGUGCGAAAGCGUGGGUAGCAAACAGGAUUAGAUACCCUAGUAGUC
rnacentral:rRNA from 1 species